rnacentral:lncRNA from 1 species
GAGUAGUAGUGGCUUAUUGGAAGUCUGGUUGUUAUUUAUCUUCUUGAGAAGUAUUUGGUUGGUUGGUUAGUCGCGGAGUAUAAACAUUCACACCGUGUUGGAGCUAAGGAUGUCUUAAAUGUCAUAAGUGUACCGUUGUGGAUGUACAAAUUGAGGAUGGAGUUACAAGUCACCACAAGUCAGAUUGGUAGUUUUGAAAUUGGGAUUUCCGAAG